rnacentral:pre_miRNA from 1 species
AGUGUGAUUGCUGGGUUGUAUGGUAAGAGUAUACCUGUGUAGUUUUGGAAGAAACUGCCAAACUGUUUUCUAAAGUGGCUGUAUCAUUUUGCAUUCCCACCAGUAGU